GAUGAACGCUGGCGGCGUGCUUAACACAUGCAAGUCGAACGGAAAGGCCCUGCUUUUGUGGGGUUCUCGAGUGGCGAACGGGUGAGUAACACGUGAGUAACCUGCCCUUGACUUUGGGAUAACUUCAGGAAACUGGGGCUAAUAUCGGAUAGGAGCUCCUGCUGCGUGGUGGGGGAUGGAAAGUUUCGGCGGUUGGGGAUGGACUCGCGGCUUACUAGCUUGUUGGUGGGGUAGUGGCUUACCAAGGCUACGACGGGUAGCCGGCCUGAGAGGGUGAUCGGCCACACUGGAACUGAGACACGGUCCAGACUCCUACGGGAGGCAGCAGUGGGGAAUAUUGGGCAAUGGGCGCAAGCCUGACGGAGCAACGCCGCGUGAGUGAAGAAGGUCUUCGGAUCGUAAAGCUCUGUUAUUGGGGAAGAAAAGAUGUGGAAGAAACUGUGGACGUCUUGACGGUACCUAAUCAGAAAGCAACGGCUAACUACGUG
rnacentral:rRNA from 1 species